GAAAUGCGAUACGUAAUGUGAUAUGCAAGACUUCGUGAAUCAUCAAUAUUUUGAACGCACAUUGCGCUUCCAGCUCUUGCUGAAAGCAUGUUCCUUCGAGUGUUCACAUACCCAAUUCAAAAACCUCUUUUGGUCUGAUGCGGUUGGCUUUGAAUCAAAGCCUGCCGUGAAAUGAAUGCGUUGGUCAGUGCUAGUACGCGCGGCUCCGUGAUAGGUGAAUUGCCAAUGGGUAAAUUUUAUUUCGGCGUCGCUUCGUGCUGCUCUGGUUCAUCCAGCGUUUCAAUGUGGCAAUCUCCUUGUCAUGUAAUUGAAUCUCGAAUGGAAUAAGGUUACCCGCUGAAUUUAAGCAUAUAAUUAAGCGGUGGAAAAGAAACUAACAAGGAUUCCUCU
rnacentral:rRNA from 1 species